CCUACGGGUGGCAGCAGUGGGGAAUAUUGGGCAAUGGGCGCAAGCCUGAACCAGCAAUGCAGCGUGAAGGAAGAAGGCUUUCGGGUUGUAAACUUCUUUGACAGGGGAAGAGCAGAAGACGGUACCCUGAAAACAAGCCACGGCUAACUACGGGCCAGCAGCCGCGGUAGUACGUAGGUGGCAAGCGUUGUCCGGAUUUACUGGGUGUAAAGGGCGUGUAGCCGGGAAGGCAAGUCAGAUGUGAAAUCUGGAGGCUCAACCGCCAAAUUGCAUUUGAAACUGUUUUUCUUGAGUACUGGUGAGGCAGACGGAAUUCCUUGUGUAGCGGUGAAAUGCGUAGAUAUAAGGAGGAACACCGAUGGCGAAGGCGGUCUGCUGAACAGCAACUGACGGUGAGGCGCGAAAGCGUGGGGAGCAAACAGGAUUAGAUACCCGUGUAGUC
rnacentral:rRNA from 1 species